CCUGAAGCCCUUCCUAACGGCGAUGUAAGUACUUGCAGCAUCAUGGAAGAGACGCAGGUGAUGGACGCAGAUUUCCAUGGCAGCACUCCAGUUUCUGCUGUACCGAAAGAUGUUUUAGAAGAGCACCGAAGCUGUAAUCUCAUUUCGGAUCCCAGGCGGACGACCGCUUCCCAAUUACAGCCCAGGCUGGCCGCGCGUUCUGUGCGCCCCCAGUGUCGGGGUUUUAUGGCUCUUCGUACUCGUUUUACGGCUGCCUGAAAAAG